rnacentral:rRNA from 1 species
UACGGGGGGGGGCAAGCGUUUGUUCGGAAUUACUGGGCGUAAAGGGCUCGUAGGUGGCCAACUAAGUCAGACGUGAAAUCCCUCGGCUUAACCGGGGAACUGCGUCUGAUACUGGAUGGCUUGAGGUUGGGAGAGGGAUGCGGAAUUCCAGGUGUAGCGGUGAAAUGCGUAGAUAUCUGGAGGAACACCGGUGGCGAAGGCGGCAUCCUGGACCAAUUCUGACGCUGAGGAGCGAAAGCCAGGGGAGCAAACGGG